rnacentral:rRNA from 1 species
CCUACGGGGCGCAGCAGUGGGGAAUAUUGCACAAUGGGGGAAACCCUGAUGCAGCGACGCCGCGUGAGUGAAGAAGUACUUCGUUACGUAAAGCUCUAUCAGCAGGGAAGAAAAUGACGGUACCUGAGUAAGAAGCCCCGGCUAACUACGUGCCAGCAGCCCCGGUAAUACGUAGGGGGAAAGCGUUAUCCGGAUUUACUGGGUGUAAAGGGAGCGUAGACGGUGCGGCAAGUCGGGAGUGAAAUGCCGCAGCUUAACUGCGGAACGGCUUUGGAAACAGGCGAACUAGAGUGCGGGAGGGGGAGGCGGAAUUCCAGGUGUAGCGGUGAAAUGCGUAGAGAUUAGGAGGAAUACCGGUGGCGAAGGCGGCUUACUGGACCGUAACUGACGUUGAGGUUCGAAAGCGUGGGGAGCAAACAGGAUUAGAUACCCCUGUAGUC